rnacentral:rRNA from 1 species
AGAGUUUCAUCCUGGCUCAGGACGAACGCUGGCGGCGCGCCUAACACAUGCAAGUCGAACGAGCGAGAGAGAGCUUGCUUUCUCAAGCGAGUGGCGAACGGGUGAGUAACGCGUGAGGAACCUGCCUCAAAGAGGGGGACAACAGUUGGAAACGACUGCUAAUACCGCAUAAGCCCACAGCUCGGCAUCGAGCAGAGGGAAAAGGAGCGAUCCGCUUUGAGAUGGCCUCGCGUCCGAUUAGCUAGUUGGUGAGGUAAUGGCCCACCAAGGCGACGAUCGGUAGCCGGACUGAGAGGUUGAACGGCCACAUUGGGACUGAGACACGGCCCAGACUCCUACGGGAGGCAGCAGUGGGGAAUAUUGCACAAUGGGGGAAACCCUGAUGCAGCGACGCCGCGUGGAGGAAGAAGGUCUUCGGAUUGUAAACUCCUGUUGUUGAGGAAGAUAAUGACGGUACUCAACAAGGAAGUGACGGCUAACUACGUGCCAGCAGCCGCGGUAAAACGUAGGUCACAAGCGUUGUCCGGAAUUACUGGGUGUAAAGGGAGCGCAGGCGGGAAGACAAGUUGGAAGUGAAAUCUAUGGGCUCAACCCAUAAACUGCUUUCAAAACUGUUUUUCUUGAGUAGUGCAGAGGUAGGCGGAAUUCCCGGUGUAGCGGUGGAAUGCGUAGAUAUCGGGAGGAACACCAGUGGCGAAGGCGGCCUACUGGGCACCAACUGACGCUGAGGCUCGAAAGUGUGGGUAGCAAACAGGAUCAGAUACCCUGGUAGUCCACACCGUAAACGAUGAUUACUAGGUGUUGGAGGAUUGACCCCUUCAGUGCCGCAGUUAACACAAUAAGUAAUCCACCUGGGGAGUACGACCGCAAGGUUGAAACUCAAAGGAAUUGACGGGGGCCCGCACAAGCAGUGGAGUAUGUGGUUUAAUUCGACGCAACGCGAAGAACCUUACCAAGUCUUGACAUCCCUUGACGAACAUAGAAAUAUGUUUUCUCUUCGGAGCAAGGAGACAGGUGGUGCAUGGUUGUCGUCAGCUCGUGUCGUGAGAUGUUGGGUUAAGUCCCGCAACGAGCGCAACCCUUACUGUCAGUUACUACGCAAGAGGACUCUGGCAGGACUGCCGUUGACAAAACGGAGGAAGGUGGGGAUGACGUCAAAUCAUCAUGCCCUUUAUGACUUGGGCUACACACGUACUACAAUGGCGUUAAACAAAGAGAAGCAAGACCGCGAGGUGGAGCAAAACUCAGAAACAACGUCCCAGUUCGGACUGCAGGCUGCAACUCGCCUGCACGAAGUCGGAAUUGCUAGUAAUCGUGGAUCAGCAUGCCACGGGAAUACAUCCCGGGGUGUACACACCGCCCGUCAAGGGCGAAUACGCGGCCGGUAAAUCAUUCGCCCAUAGGGUGUCUCGG